rnacentral:rRNA from 1 species
CGAACUCUUCGGAGUUAGUGGCGGACGGGUGAGUAACACGUGGGAACGUGCCUUUAGGUUCGGAAUAACUCAGGGAAACUUGUGCUAAUACCGAAUGUGCCCUUCGGGGGAAAGAUUUAUCGCCUUUAGAGCGGCCCGCGUCUGAUUAGCUAGUUGGUGAGGUAAUGGCUCACCAAGGCGACGAUCAGUAGCUGGUCUGAGAGGAUGAUCAGCCACAUUGGGACUGAGACACGGCCCAAACUCCUACGGGAGGCAGCAGUGGGGAAUCUUGCGCAAUGGGCGAAAGCCUGACGCAGCCAUGCCGCGUGAAUGAUGAAGGUCUUAGGAUUGUAAAAUUCUUUCACCGGGGACGAUAAUGACGGUACCCGGAGAAGAAGCCCCGGCUAACUUCGUGCCAGCAGCCGCGGUAAUACGAAGGGGGCUAGCGUUGCUCGGAAUUACUGG